AAGUAAAUAUUUACAUUAGCUGUGCGCUGUGUUUGUAUACAAACGCGCUGAUGAUAUGCAGAUAUGAAUGGGUCCAUUUGACAGUAGGGCAUACUCGAUUCGUGCUGGCCGGUGGCCGCAUCACCGUGACUCAGCUUGAAGCGCUCAAUGCGAAAUGUUUAAAAGCCAAAUGGCAGAGGAAGUGGCCGGAUCGCAACAGGUGCUACAGGUCUACGGGUAUCAUCUAUCAAUGGCGUGAACUUUUGGCCGUUGACACUGCGGAAUUGAGGAGAGGUUCCGUUUGGCCCUGGUUCCCCUACCCCCGAUUCGUGUUUUUACUGCUUGCAUAUAUGGUAUGUAUGUAUGUGUGCAUGCUGACUGAGCUGGCAAACAUGGGGAUGCAAAGGGGAGAAAAGUUCGAGUGCUGCCAUGUUUGCCGGCGUCUGUGAAAACUUCUCCGGCCACGCCCACAGCGGCCAUACGCCCACGGCAUUUAUAUGCAUACGGAAAACUUGGCGGAGAAAGUGGGCGAGUGGUUGUGGGCCGCGGGAAAGCGGCGGAAAAGCGAAGGCGACGGAAACAGGAGGCGCAGCACUUGACUAAGUUAAUAGCGGCAGUUUCUAAUUAAAAUUUACGGAGAGCGAAAGUUGCGUGGGCACACAGUUGUCGUCAACAUAAUAGCAUCCGGCUGAAUUACACAAAUGGGCGUGUGACUAAAGGAUCUGCCAUAAGUGUUUCGAGUUUAAUUUUGCCGUGUGUAGGUGGUUUGUUUUGAAGAUUUAAUCACAACAAAACAAAUUGUAUUGUAUUAGCUUGGCAUUUUAAAAACAUAAAAUGGGUUAAUCAAAUUCGCAAAGUGCUAAUAUAUAUAUAAAUAUGUGUUAACAUCCAAAAAUAGCCAAGUUUCCUCAGGUGCCGAAGUGAAUAUUAAUGAAAAUAGCUAGCCAAAAAUGUUCCUAAAAAGGAGUUUAUGUUUUGAAUACUUUCUAUUGACAUUUACAUUUUUAUAGCAACGAUUGUAAGGAUAUCGAGUGCUGUUCUCAGAAUGAGUGUGAGUGUCGCGCCCGCAGUUUGGCACCUAUCCGAGUUCCUGGAUCCAGGAUGCGGAGUACUGGGUCCUGAGUCCUGGACUUCAUUGGCGGCACGUGCUUGAAUAAUAAACAGAGCAGCAGUACUGAAAGGCGUGCUGUGAAGGGGGAGGGGGGACUUUCAAAUCGUCGGCUGUUUAAUUUAUGCCGCUUAGUUUUUAGUGCGUGUAUGUGUGUGUGUGUAACAUGUUAAUUACAUUUAUAUUUACAGGCGAGCACGAAGAGCUCAAAAUCAGCCCGCUCCCCUAAUUGUUGUCCUAAUUACGCGGCCUAAUAAAGUAAACACACUAAACCCGUUGGCCUAAUCAAUGUUGCAAACUUUGUGGCACUAUUUUGGGCCACAUUCACACAUUCACAGCACCACCCCCCGCGAAAAAGGCCAAACUAUCGCCUCGAAAAGUAAUUUCGCUGGCGGAGGCGCAAAGUUCUUUGAUAAUAUUCGAUUAAUCCCACGGACGCUUUAUCGGGCUCGUUGCGCUGCGCUGCUGAUUAAAUUCUCGCAUAAUUGAAGUAUUUAAAUUACCAGCGAAUAAUUAGAGUGGCAGGAAUUACUCACACACUCACACUGGCACUCAAACUCGCACUCACACUCACACCGAGUUCUGGAAUGCAGUGGUCCCUUGGGUAAUUGUUUGUUUUUAAUCAGGCAAAGCACAUAAUAGAGACAUUUCAAUAUUAUUAUGUUGACGAUGCCGAAGAGGCCGUCAGUCUGCCAUUAAACAAAUAUCCGUGCAUUGUACAUUGUUUCGGGGAAUGUGCGAAAUUAAGUCACGCUCGAUUACAACAAAUUUGAAAAAACAAGAGGCAAAAAGCGACAGUACAACGUGAAAACAAAAAGUACCCGGAGCAACAAAAAAGAAAGAAAAAAUUGCACAAUAAAACCAGAAAAGAGCGAAAAAGCAACAAAACCAGAAAAGAAAGCAAAGGUUCUGGCUCCAAAAGCCGACUAUUUAAUUCCCUUUUGAUUAAUGUACUUAAUAUAUAUUCUCUACCUUUUUUUUACAACCAUUUUCAUCUAUUCAACUGUCUGCGAGAUUAAAAUUACUAUUUAAAGGAUUGAAAUACACAAGGAAUCAAAAUAAUGUAUAUUAAA